GACGAACGCUGGCGGCGUGCCUAACACAUGCAAGUCGAGCGAAUGAAGUUCCUUCGGGAAUGGAUUUAGCGGCGGACGGGUGAGUAACACGUGGGCAACCUGCCUCAUAGAGGGGAAUAGCCUCCCGAAAGGGAGAUUAAUACCGCAUAAGAUUGUAGUACCGCAUGAUACAGCAAUUAAAGGAGCAAUCCGCUAUGAGAUGGGCCCGCGGCGCAUUAGCUAGUUGGUGAGGUAAUGGCUCACCAAGGCGACGAUGCGUAGCCGACCUGAGAGGGUGACCGGCCACAUUGGGACUGAGACACGGCCCAGACUCCUACGGGAGGCAGCAGUGGGGAAUAUUGCACAAUGGGGGAAACCCUGAUGCAGCAACGCCGCGUGAGUGAUGACGGCCUUCGGGUUGUAAAGCUCUGUCUUCAGGGACGAUAAUGACGGUACCUGAGGAGGAAGCCACGGCUAACUACGUG
rnacentral:rRNA from 1 species